rnacentral:rRNA from 1 species
UACGUAGGGUGCAAGCGUUGUCCGGAAUUAUUGGGCGUAAAGAGCUCGUAGGCGGUCUGUUGCGUCCGCUGUGAAAACUCGGGGCUUAACCCCGAGCCUGCAGUGGAUACGGGCAGACUAGAGGUAGGUAGGGGAGAAUGGAAUUCCCGGUGUAGCGGUGAAAUGCGCAGAUAUCAGGAGGAACACCCGUGGCGAAAGCGGCUCUCUGGGACGGUACUGACGCUGAGACGCGAAAGCGUGGGGAGCAAACAGG